rnacentral:lncRNA from 1 species
CGACUGAAUUCGAAAACGUACGUUUCCUCGUGAGAUCAGGUUCUAUAGUUAUUGUUUUUUAUUAAUAUUAAUGUUAUGUCACUUGCUUAUCAUGAUUUUUUAAAAUAAAUUUAUUACCAUUGGCAACGCAAACAUUUGCCUCAUGUCCGCGUGCGCGCGCCUCCGCUAAACGAUUUCAAACCGAAGGACUCGAGGAUUGGGCCAGAAAGCAGUCCAGAAUGAUCAAAGAUGGAAAAUGAAAGCUCUCCAAGAGCUCGUCAGAUGUGCUGAGUCUGCUUACCCGUGCAAGGCUUCGAGUGCAGAAUGAAUUGGUUCAGAAAGUUUCAUCUGUCAGUCUCCUGUUGGCGUGGAGCCUAAACUUCUCUGAGUACUGUGUGCGUCCUGCGGCCUCGGCUGUCUGAAAUUUGCACCGGGCUGCUGUUUGUAAAGGGCUUUACAGCUGUCAGUCCUCAUGAUGCCUGUCACCUCCUCACACACUCACACACAGGAUUACAGAGCAGGCCUGAAGAUCACGGCCUGAAAGCCAGAUAAAAUGUCCCCCAACGCGGGCCACUUGACUGACUAAGCUGGUUGUCAUCGUCUGAGAGAGAUUCCAGCUCUUGUAAAAACACAGAGCUCAGCCCUUCACUUCAGCACGGUCGCUCCUGUGAUUGUCAGGUCAGACAAGUUAAAAAGAAAAUAUCCAGCCUUUUUUUUUAAUAAAUCAAGGCUCAACAAUAAGGACUGCCCGGUGGCCCAGGGCCAGCUUGAGAGACACUUGGGACAGUAGACCGGAUCAUUACUGGCCCGAUUGGGACAGUGCUGCCUUGUCACUAACAUUUGUCUGCGACUAUGUAAAUUACGUGCAUUUUAAGUUUGUGCUUUUAAGUUUUUAAACACUACCUUCUCUGUGAUGUCGUAAAC